rnacentral:rRNA from 1 species
AAGGGCGACACCCGUUCCCAUUCCGAACACGGAAGUUAAGCCUUCUAACGUCGAUGAUACUGCCCCUCAAGGGGCGGGAAAGUAGAAAACCGCCAAGC